GGCUAACGCUGGCGGCGUGUCUUAGCCAUGCAAGUCGAGCGGACUUAUGGGGUAACUUAUAAGUCAGCGGCGGACGGCGGAGUAACACGUAGCUAACCUACCCUCUGGACGGGGAUAACCUACCGAAAGGUGGGCUAAUACCCGAUGUAGUCAUCCUGUAUAGGGGUGAUGAAAGGUGGGCUUCUGUUUACAAACUCAUGCUGGAGGGGGGGGCUGCGGCCUAUCAGGUAGUUGGUAGGGUAAUAGCCUACCAAGCCGAUGACGGGUAGCCGGCCUGAGAGGGUGACCGGCCCGAGGGGCACUGAGAUACGGGUCCCACUCCUACGGGAGGCAGCAGGCUAGAAAUUUGGGCAAUGGGGGAAACCCUGACCCAGUGACGCCGCGUGCAGGAAGGAGCCCUUCGGGGUGUAAACUGCUGUCGUGUAGGGAGAAGGGUGCUAAGGUGAACAAUCUUAGUACUUGACGGUACUACAGGAGGAAGCCCAGGCUAACCUCGUG
rnacentral:rRNA from 1 species